rnacentral:rRNA from 1 species
AACCUGCGGAGGGAUCAUUACCGAGUUUACAACUCCCAAACCCAAUGUGAACGUUACCAAACUGUUGCCUCGGCGGGGUCACGCCCCGGGUGCGUCGCAGCCCCGGAACCAGGCGCCCGCCGGAGGAACCAACCAAACUCUUUCUGUAGUCCCCUCGCGGACGUAUUUCUUACAGCUCUGAGCAAAAAUUCAAAAUGAAUCAAAACUUUCAACAACGGAUCUCUUGGUUCUGGCAUCGAUGAAGAACGCAGCGAAAUGCGAUAAGUAAUGUGAAUUGCAGAAUUCAGUGAAUCAUCGAAUCUUUGAACGCACAUUGCGCCCGCCAGUAUUCUGGCGGGCAUGCCUGUCCGAGCGUCAUUUCAACCCUCGAACCCCUCCGGGGGAUCGGCGUUGGGGAUCGGGACCCCUCACACGGGUGCCGGCCCCGAAAUACAGUGGCGGUCUCGCCGCAGCCUCUCCUGCGCAGUAGUUUGCACAACUCGCACCGGGAGCGCGGCGCGUCCACGUCCGUAAAACACCCAACUUCUGAAAUGUGACCUCGAUC